AGUGAACGCUGGCGGUAGGCCUAACACAUGCAAGUCGAACGGCAGCACAGUAAGAGCUUGCUCUUACGGGUGGCGAGUGGCGGACGGGUGAGGAAUACAUCGGAAUCUACUUUUUCGUGGGGGAUAACGUAGGGAAACUUACGCUAAUACCGCAUACGACCUACGGGUGAAAGCAGGGGAUCUUCGGACCUUGCGCGAUUGAAUGAGCCGAUGUCGGAUUAGCUAGUUGGUGGGGUAAAGGCCCACCAAGGCGACGAUCCGUAGCUGGUCUGAGAGGAUGAUCAGCCACACUGGAACUGAGACACGGUCCAGACUCCUACGGGAGGCAGCAGUGGGGAAUAUUGGACAAUGGGCGCAAGCCUGAUCCAGCCAUACCGCGUGUGUGAAGAAGGCCUUCGGGUUGUAAAGCCCUUUUGUUGGGAAAGAAAAGCAGCAGGUUAAUACCCCGCUGUUCUGACGGUACCCAAAGAAUAAGCACCGGCUAACUUCGUG
rnacentral:rRNA from 1 species